CAGCAGCCGCGGUAAUACGUAGGGUGCAAGCGUUAAUCGGAAUUACUGGGCGUAAAGCGUGCGCAGGCGGUUUUGUAAGACAGGCGUGAAAUCCCCGGGCUCAACCUGGGAAUGGCGCUUGUGACUGCAAAGCUAGAGUGCGGCAGAGGGGGAUGGAAUUCCGCGUGUAGCAGUGAAAUGCGUAGAUAUGCGGAGGAACACCGAUGGCGAAGGCAAUCCCCUGGGCCUGCACUGACGCUCAUGCACGAAAGCGUGGGGAGCAAACAGGAUUAGAUACCCGUGUAGUCCCUGUCUCUUAUAC
rnacentral:rRNA from 1 species